rnacentral:rRNA from 1 species
UACGUAGGGUGCAAGCGUUAAUCGGAAUUACUGGGCGUAAAGCGUGCGCAGGCGGUUAUGUAAGACAGAUGUGAAAUGCCCGGGCUUAACCUGGGAACUGCAUUUGUGACUGCAUGGCUAGAGUUUGGCAGAGGGGGGUAGAAUUCCCGGUGUAGCGGUGAAAUGCGUAGAUAUCGGGAGGAACAUCAGUGGCGAAGGCGACCACCUGGCCCAACACUGACGCUGAGGUGCGAAAGCGUGGGUAGCAAACAGG